CGUGACUCCGGUUAUCACGCUAAACUGCUCAACUGCGCAUGCGCUGUAGUUUUGUUCGGAUUUCGAAGUAAUGCGCGUGAAAAAGAAAAAAAAAAGUGUAGGGUUCAUUUAAACACAACUUUCAGGAUCUGAAACUGGAUUGGAUUCAUUGCCACUGAUAAAAAUUAGUGUUUCUGAAUGCAUCUUGUUUUGCAAUGUUCCUCUAAAAGAGGAUAAACAUGUUUUUAUCAGAACUAUAUGAUGAAAGAUAUUUCACCCUACAGCAUCAACAUCUUCAAGGGAAAGCUGUGGUCUUGCACGACAAGCCGCGCAUCUGCGAUCACCCCAGAGACCCGAGCAAGAGUUCACAGAUGAAGAUGCUGCAGAGAACCUUCAGUGCCUCCAGCUCAUCGGCGGGAGAACGGAUCCGUUCGCACCGGUGUGUGUUUGGACUUGACGGGGCUGUGAACGGAACCGAGCCGCGGGAGACUCCAGUGCGCGAGAGCUCGAGGAGAGAAACGCUGUCCAUCUGCCCCGCGUCAUCCAGAGGUAAAUGUUGAGGACGGCAACGACAUGUUACCUAAAUCCAGACGAGCUCUCACCAUUCAAGAGAUCGCAGCGCUGGCGAGAUCUUCACUUCACGGUAAAAAAAAAAAAUCUGUUAUCAAAAUAUAAAAAUACAUUUGCCAAGCCUCUAAAACAAAUGCAAAAACAAAAUGAUUUUUCAGAGUUGUUUAUAAAACAGAUUAUUGAAGUAUUUCAGUCUUUCUACUUACAAAAAAAAAUCUGUGUCUAAUUCAGUGUGUUACUUGCUGUUUUAAAAAUUUACUAGCACUUUCUGAGUGAAAAUUGUUCCUAUAUCAAAUUUACAUGUAGACCUCAUGGGAUCCUGAUUAAUGUUAAUGCUAACCAAUAGUCAAAUAUCUAUUUACUUUAUUUUAAACUGCUGUUGUAGGUGAUGCACCAUUUUAUAACCUUGUCAAUAGUUAGAAUACAUUAAUUUCUUAUAGAUUAAUGUUAACAAAUAGUGCAGUAUCUAUUUAGGUUAUUUUAAGAUGAUGCUGUAGGUGAUGCACUUUUUUUUUUUUUCAAACCUUGCCAAUAUUAACAUGCUGAUCGUUAAUGUCAAUCAAUAGUCAAACAUUGGUUUAGUUUAUUUUAGGCUGCUGUUGUAGGUGAUGCACCUUUAUAUAACCUUGUCAAUAGUUAAAAAGCAUUAAUUUCAGGCAUGUUAAUGUUAACCAAUGUUGAAGGUUGCUGCUGUUUUAAGUGAUGCACCUUUUUUUAAAACCUUGUCUAUAAUUAAUACCGUAAUUUAAUACUGGUUAAUGUUACUCAAUAGUCCAAUACUUAUUAAGUUAUUUUAGGCUGCUGUUGUAGGUGAUGCACCUUUUUAAAUCCUUCUCAACAAUAUUGAAUUAAGCUACAGAAACUUAAGCUUUGUCCUCUUAAUAACAAGUUUAAUUUUUUUUUCUACAAAACAAAACUUGCAUUAUCAUUGCAUUUAUUAUACGGCAUUACACUACAGGUGAACAGGGG
rnacentral:lncRNA from 1 species